UCUCCGUUGGUGAACCAGCGGAGGGAUCAUUACCGAGUUUACAACUCCCAAACCCCUAUGUGAACGUUACCAAACUGUUGCCUCGGCGGGAAAUACAUGCCCCGGGCGCGUCGCAGCCCCGGACCAAGGCGCCCGCCGGAGGACCAACCAAAACUCUUUUGUAUGUCCCUCGCGGACUUUUAUAAUUCUGAACCAUCUCGGCGCCCCUAGCGGGCGUUUCGAAAAUGAAUCAAAACUUUCAACAACGGAUCUCUUGGUUCUG
rnacentral:misc_RNA from 1 species